rnacentral:rRNA from 1 species
AACGAACGCUGGCGGCAUGCCUAACACAUGCAAGUCGAACGAGACCUUCGGGUCUAGUGGCGCACGGGUGCGUAACGCGUGGGAACCUGCCUUUAGGUUCGGAAUAACUCAGAGAAAUUUGAGCUAAUACCGGAUAAUGUCUUCGGACCAAAGAUUUAUCGCCUUUAGAUGGGCCCGCGUAAGAUUAGCUAGUUGGUGGGGUAAAGGCCUACCAAGGCGACGAUCUUUAGCUGGUCUGAGAGGAUGAUCAGCCACACUGGGACUGAGACACGGCCCAGACUCCUACGGGAGGCAGCAGUGGGGAAUAUUGGACAAUGGGCGAAAGCCUGAUCCAGCAAUGCCGCGUGAGUGAAUGAAGGCCUUAGGGUUGUAAAGCUCUUUUACCCGACGAUGAUAAUGACAGUAUCGGGAGAAUAAG